UCAAAUUCUUCAAAAACAUUUGAAUUCUCCGAACCACUAGCAGAAAUACCGGUCUUUCGACUUGAUUUUGAUACAGUAUAAAUUGAUGUGCGCAUGAUCAAUACGUAUUCACAUUUUUUUACAAUUGGAUCCAUUUGCCACUACUAUUGACAGAAAUAUUUCCAUAGAUUCCAAAUAUCCAUUUUAGUGGAUACAUAAGAAUUUUUUUCCAUCAUCAAAUGGCAAGCCUACUACCUUUUCGAGGAUAUAUACAAUGGACAUACCAUUUACUAUUGCUACUAUUGAAUCAAAAAUGAGAAAAGUAGUGGAAUCAUCGGAUACUAUUGUUGCAGCUGCUGAUAACGUCAGUAAAUAAGAGGAAGCAGUACAAUCAAUUUAAUAUGGGGAAAAAAUUGCAAAGUUGCAACUUAUCAUUAUCAACAAUUUUUAGAUGGAUAGAGCUCAAACAUAUCGGCAAAAUUCAUCAACAUACAGUGGCACUGGGUUCAUGAAGAAAUUCGGUAACACCAAAAAAGAAUGAUUCAACCAAAUCAGAAAUCAACAUAUCACUGUAUUAUCCGAAUGAUUGCUGCCGUCUGCAAUCCGGUAUAUAUAUCAUACAUGCUCGUCGUUUACCUUCGUUGAUGAUGAUGGUGAUGAUGAUGAUAUAAACCGAGCACACACACACACACACUUUUUGGUCCUUGUGGAUACCAAAAGAAUGUUCAUGUGUAAAGUGUGUGUAUUAAUAAAAGAAAAAAUAAAUUUCAUUAAUAAUCAUCAUCAUCAUCAUCAGUGAAAAAACAUCGAUUGUCGUCGUCGUCGACACAUACACAAACACACAAUAAAUCGCCGACGACAACCAUGGCCAUAGACACGCAGACAACAAAAAAUAUCUGAAAAAAAAUUCGAAUCAUCAUCAUCAUCAAAGUUCCAUCCACAUUGCAACAACAAUAAUUAAUAAAAUAUAAAUAUAAAUAUAAAUAAAAAAUAAAAAAAUAAAUUAAUAAUCUAAACCACAAGCCAAGCCAAUCCAUCGUGUCCUAUUGGCGACCUAAUCGUGUGUAUGUUGGUGUGGGUGUGUAUUUGUAUAUAAUUAAGCGAACUCAGAUGAAAAUCAUGGACUUAUUACGAUGAUGGUGAUUGUGUUUUUUCUCUUUCAUAUUAUCUCAGUUUGAAU